UUGGGGUGUCGGUGAAAGUUGUCUCUUCCUGUGUGAACAUGGUGCGGACCAAAGCAAACUACGUCCCAGGAGCCUACAGAAAAGUGGUGGCUUCUCAAGCCCCUAGGAAGGUGCUUGGCUCCUCCACCUUUGUCACCAAUUCUUCAAGUUCGUGGAGAAAAGCUGAAAAUAAGUAUGCAGGAGGGAACCCAGUCUGUGUGCGCCCAACUCCCAAGUGGCAAAAAGGCAUCGGGGAAUUCUUCAGGCUGUCCCCUAAAGAUUCUAGAAAGGAGAACCAGAUUCCUGAAGAAGCAGAAAGCAGUGGCUUAGGAAAAGCAAAGAGAAAAGCUUGUCCUUUGCAACCUGAUCACAAAGAUGAUGAAAACGAAUAG